GUCACACCGGGUUCCCUGGCUGCAGUCAGCCUGGUUUGGGCUCAAGAGACUGGGCUGACUCAGACUGUGGUGAGGUGCUGCUGGGUUGUGGGCGGUCGCUGCUCUUUUGUUUUCUCAGUCUUGUGAUAGGGCAAUGUGCCAGUCUGGAGGUCACUGCAAAAUAAAAACCAUGCUUCCCAAACACAUAAAACCGAGAGGCUGAAACUCAGAUCAAGAAAUAUCAACUCUUGAAGGACUUGGGCCUUGUCUCCAGCUUGCUCUGAAAGGUGUCUGUGGAUCCUGAUGAGGCUGUGGUGAUGCAUGGGGCUCAGUAGAAGCUAGAAAGGGAAAGGUUGGCAGGAUGACAGCCCUGCAUGCCUGUAGGUCCUUGUUUUCCGCCUGGCACGGUUUUGCUUUGCCCAGCCACCCCUCGGAGACCGCAGUCUGAAUCCCUGGCGCUCAAGCGGGGCUCGUUAGUCACCUCUCUGCCACAGAGAUCCCCUCACCAUGAAGCCACUGAUGAGGUCUAAUCACGCAGGUCUCCAGUCUUGCAAUCUUGAUCGCCAAAACCAAAAAAUAACAUACAAUUUGACCUUCGGAAGAAAGCAGAGAGGAAGGUGGGGGUCUCCCCUCCAGUCCUCCACCCCCAUGUCCUCUAACACUCGCUCCACAGUCAACAGAGAGUCCUGUGUGUCACGGGUGUAACAGGGUCACCAGUCCUCCCACACGCCUGCCCAGGAUCAUGCUCACGGGCCGGGUGCUGCUGCUGCCGCUGCACAUGUCUGGGCGAUGACUUCAUUCAGAAAUCCUGACCCGAGGGGGCCCCCGCAGAGAGCACAAACAAAGCACAUUCCUCCCCCUCCCGCUCCCUCUUCCUCUCCCUCUCCCACCCCCUCUCCUUCUCCCUCUCCCACUGCAGCUUUUUUCUAUUUUUCCAGUUUUAAAAGCCUCUCAUCCAUUAAAAAUAAAAAGUUCACUCUGGUAUGCACCUCUUUUGAUCUAACACAGAACGGAAUCGAUUCUGUUUGUAGUAUUCGCAGCCCCAGAGGUGUAUACUAAAAAGCAUUGUGAAGAUUUUUUUGUUUUUUAAUGUGCAUUGUAAGUAAUUGAUGCCGGCCUCGUUCGAGCUCAGAGACAAAACAGUCUAACUCCCAGCAGUUAGAUGCAGCUGGAGACGUUGCCCUCUUGAACAGGACCUCUGGAAAUCUGCGUUGAGCCGUGCUGUUAUUGAAAUGAGCCGUCGUGAAGGGAAGGCUGCUUAGGGAAUGGGAACGCAGGCUCAAAGGGGCUUUGCUGCAUAAAUAAGCAGGCAUUGUGUCGCAGCAGCUGGGAUGUUGCACAGCUUUAUUGUAUGUAUCCUGCUUUAUUUACAGCACAGAGAGUGUUCGACAUAUGCACAUGAACUGUCACUGAGCACUUCAAACUUUUCAACUCUUUUUUUUUUAGGUUAUGUAUAUGAUCAAAAGCUACUGUGGGGGGGGGGGGCAUGCUGUAGACAAAACAUGUAAACUACUCUUAUAAACUGCUAUAUAUAAUGAUUAUUAUGAAUCAUUUUAAUAUCAGUAUUUACUAAUAAAUGGUUUAUUUUCCUUGCCUCCAGUCCAGGAAGCAUCCUUUCUCUUAGGGGGUGAUGGAGGGAGCAGUUCAGUUCACAUUUCUCAAGCCUGCCCUGGACUGGAGGGGGCACCCUUUCUCUCAGAAGCUGAAUAGACUUAAUUUGUGAUCUAAGAAAUAAAAUCCGAACCCAGGCCUCUAAAGCUGAAAGGCUAGCGUAUUAACCCACCUGGUGCAGUUAGAAAAAAGACACAACAACAUACAGUAACGAUGCAAUACACGUUCUCCACGGUAUUCAAGCAAUGAAUCCUCUGCCUGUUAUUCAUUCCGAAAGGCCUGAUAAUGAAAGCGAAAUCAGUCUGUAUAAUUACAUGUCUUAUCAAAGUUGGACAUCUCUCCUGAACUUCCCCCCUCUCUCUCGCAGUUCUGUGAAAGAUUAUAUUAUGCAGUAUAUAUUGCAUUUCCAGGGAUCAGUGGAAGCCCAGCUCAGUCUCUUGUCUAGAUUUCAUAUCCCGCAUUAAUGAGAUGAAUGUUAGCUGUCAACACCCACCCCCAGCACAAUACUGCAGGUGAUCAAAUGCAACAGCGAUGGGAGAGGAGAAUCCAGGCUUUGUGCAGGGACUGUUUCAACAAAGCCCCUAGACGGACAGACGCAAUCUCCAUUCUUUACAGUGCAGAGCAAGGCACAGAGAAUGGUGCUAUGGUUUGACUGUGGCGCUAAACUGUAAGACUGUAGGAAUUCGGUCCUCUGCUGAGCUCCUGGGUGCAAAGAGGUAAUUGGUUUGGUCGUGGGAUCUGAGGAACUAGCUGACAUUCCGUUCUCCCGAGCUCUUUUGGGGAGUUGGUACACAAUUGGACAUUCCAAAUUGGGGAGGAAAAAAAGGGUCAAAUAAUUACAGAAGAACAAAAAGAAAAA